GGCAUUGAAGGUGAAUUGGUUACACCACUGCCGUGCCAAGGCAGAGUCUGCGGGUUCGAAUCCCGUCAAUGCCU
rnacentral:tRNA from 1 species